rnacentral:rRNA from 1 species
UACAAAGGGGGCAAGCGUUAUUCGGAAUUAUUGGGCGUAAAGGGCGCGUAGGCGGCUUUGCAAGUGACGGGUGAAAAUCCCACGGCUUAACCGUGGAACUGCCUGUCAGACUGCAUGGCUUGAGACCAGGAGAGGUGAGUGGAAUUCCCAGUGUAGCGGUGAAAUGCGUAGAUAUUGGGAGGAACACCAGUGGCGAAGGCGGCUCACUGGACUGGUACUGACGCUGAGGCGCGAAAGCGUGGGGAGCAAACAGG